UACGUAGGGUGCGAGCGUUGUCCGGAAUUAUUGGGCGUAAAGAGCUUGUAGGCGGUCUGUCGCGUCUGCUGUGAAAAUCCGGGGCUCAACCCCGGACUUGCAGUGGGUACGGGCAGACUAGAGUGUGGUAGGGGAGAACGGAAUUCCUGGUGUAGCGGUGAAAUGCGCAGAUAUCAGGAGGAACACCGGUGGCGAAGGCGGGUCUCUGGGCAGUAACUGACGCUGAGGAGCGAAAGCGUGGGGAGCGAACAGG
rnacentral:rRNA from 1 species